AAAUGUGAACUUGAGAGGACGACCAAGGACAGAAUUGUCUAGAAGCAUACUUUCUUCUCCAAAACAGAAGUAGAAACAUCCGCAAUUCUCCAAAUCCAAAACAGAAGAGCAUUCAGGAACGACCUCUUUCAGCGCCAUAGCGCUAACUGUUAGAUUUAAUUGAUACGGGGCCGCUGUGAAUUGUGGUUACGCAAGGCUGCAAUGCCUCCAACUCCGCCAGUUGGAUUCAGAAGGACGAUUCAAUGAUGCAGGCCUUCCAAUAUCGAAUUACUGCACAAGUGUGAUGCAUUUACCCCAACAAGGGUUUGUAAGCUAUGCAAUUAUUUCACUGUCCAUGGCCCUUUCCUUCUCGAGUGAAAAAUUGCUGCAAUUCAUAGGACUUCAGGGCUGAAGGAUCCAUGGAAUUCUCAAGGAAGCAAAUGUUUGUUUUGCUUAUUUCGUGGAGCAGAGCACAACUUAUCUUUCUCCCUCCCUAGAAAUACCAAUGCAAGUUUGUAGGUAUCUGUCCAGUUCGUCUGAUAGGACGUGUCUACAAGUGGCAUAAUGAGCCAUUUGAUCUUGCAUUCAUGGGAAAACUAGAGGGACUAUGGCUGGAGGCAGUGGAAAUAUUCAUUAGUGAGAGGUGUCCCUUUUCAAUUUGGAGGAAAGAUGAAUGCACUUAGUGAAGUUCUUGCCAUGGAAAUAAUAAGAAUCCAUAGGAACAUGACCAAAGUGCUGCAGGAAUGCCCCAAUAAUGACAUUCUAUGGAUUGCUUCAAUUGGAUGGCACCUCAUCGAAGUCCAUAUAUAUUAGAGAUUUUAGACAAGAAGUUAUUUUAGGCUGAACGGGAUUUUGCAUUAAACCAUAGAGCUAUUUUGUUUCUAUACUCAAGUUUGUAACUAUGACAAAUCCGUUUUGUUCAUGCCCAUCUAGUAUGUUAAAUUUUUUGAGAUUACGUGGGUCAAUGUCAUGAUCCAAUUCGAAUUUUAGUUCAAUUGAGGCCAAUUCAUUUGAGUCCAAAGUAAAUUUGGGUAGGUCAUGACUCAAUUCAAUUUUUAUUUCAACCCAUUUUAGUAUUUUCAAUGUCAACUCAUUUGACGCCCUUAUUUACCGGUGCACAAGUAGGUGUAUGUAAUGUUAGUAAUUCAAUUAGGAAAACGAGCGAGUUAUGUUAGUAAAA